rnacentral:tmRNA from 1 species
CCUCUUUAAAUUGUCACAAUUAUUUGCUAUAUUGGCUUUGUUAGACUUGUUCUGACUAUGAUGAUAAACUGCCUGUAUAAUAAACCAUUCGGACCCGGGGGCGGUACCCGGCGCCUCCACCAAAAACUCAUUUUUGGGGGCGAAAUAGGAUCGACGAGGGCGUAAAAACUUGUUUUUCAUUCGGUAUUGUACCACCGUUAUCGGACUAUUAUUAUAAUUGCAAAUGACAAUUAUGCAGAAGAAGUACGUUUAGCUGCUUAAUGCACGCUCGACCUUUUUCGACCUAACUCCGACCCUUCAACCGGUCGGCGGGGCUUUGGGCACCUGGCAACAGAACGCCCUACC